GUGUUCACUUCAGCAGCACAUAAACUGAAAUUGGAACGAUACAGAGAAGAUUAGCAUGACCCCUGCACAAGGAUGACAUUCAAAUUCGUGAAGCAUUCCAUAUUUUC